CAGGGUCCUGGGCCCAGUCUGUGCUGACUCAGCAGCCCUCACUGUCUGAGACUCCAGGACAGAGGGUCACCAUCUCCUGCAAGGGAAGCAGUAACAAUACUGGGGGUGGCUAUUAUGUAAGCUGGUAUCAGCAGUUCCCAGAAACAGCCCCCAAACUCCUCAUCUAUGGAAAUAGUGAUCGACCCUCAGGGGUCCCUGAUCAUUUCUCUGGCUCCAAGUCUGGCAACUCUGCUUCACUGACAAUCACUGGGCUCCAGCCUGAGGAUGAGGCUGUCUAUUAUUGUCAGUCUUAUGACAAAAGCCUCAAGGC
rnacentral:lncRNA from 1 species